AACGGAAAGAAAGAACGAACAAAACUCAUUCUCCGUCGAACUCAGCCCUUUGUCAGCUCACCACCAUCGUCCCUCUCUUCAUUUGUAAUUUCCAGUUUCCAGUAGCUUGGUUUUCGAGUAGCAUGAUCCAGAAAUAGAGAAUUACCUUUCGGUUUGACAGUUGCUCGCCAGUUUUUGAUGGAUUCGGACUUAUUGGUUGCCGUUGUUGAUAAAGGUGUCCCUUGUUCUGGUGCACUGGCGCAGGUGUUUUUCCAAAUUCUACUAUGCUACUACUAAGUACUAUGUUACAACGUUGCUAUAGCAGCUUAUUGAUAACAUGUUAUGUUAAAUAACAUGGUGACUUUCCCUCUUAAAGUCUCUUAAACCCAGCCCGUGUUGACAUC